rnacentral:rRNA from 1 species
ACAUAACUGAUGCCUCCGCGUAUCGACUUUGUGCGCAUUUUAGCUAUUAUGUGUUCUUUUAAUUAAAAUGAUUCUUUUUAAGAUUCAUCUAUUAAGAAUUUGCUUCGGCAUAAUUUUUUUUGAUGAUCUUGUUACUUUGAGUAAAUUAGAGUGUUCAAAGCAAACAGAUAUAGCAUUUGUGCGUUUGAAUACUACAGCAUGGAAUAACAAAAUUGAACAAGUCAGAAUUUUUUUGUUCUUUUUUCUUAUUUUGGCUUAGUUACGAUUAAUAGGAGUAGCUUGGGGGCAUUUGUAUUCAGAUGUCAGAGGUGAAAUUCUUAGAUUUUCUGGAGACAAGCAACUGCGAAAGCAUUUGCCUAAAAUACUUCCAUUAAUCAAGAACGAAAGUUAAGGGAGUGAAGACGAUCAGAUACCGUCGUAAUCUUAACCAUAAACUAUGCCGACUAGGCUUUGGAUGAAAGAUUUUAAAAUAAGAGUUUUUCUUUUCUCUCCGGAGAUUAGAACUCUUAGAUUGCUUCCUUCAGUGCCUUAUGAGAAAUCAAAGUCUUUGGGUUCUGGGGCGAGUAUUCGCGCAAGCGAGAAAGUUAAAAGAAUUGACGGAAGGGCACCACCAGGCGUGGAGCUUGCGGCUUAAUUUGACUCAACACGGGAAAACUCACUAGUUUAAGACAAGAGUAGGAUUGACAGAUUAAUAGCUCUUUCUUGAUUUCUUGGAUGGUGAUGCAUGGCCGUUUUUAGUUCGUGAAUAUGAUUUGUCUGGUUAAUUCCGAUAACGAACGAGAUCUUAACCUGCUAAUUAGCGGCAAAUACGAUAUAUUCUUAUGUAGAAUUGAAUAUAGUGGAUUUGUUGGAUUUUGAAGAAAAUAUUGGAAUUACGUUAAAUGUGAUUCCUUUCCCUUUUCUACUUAAUUUACAUUUCCAUCUAUUUCUUUUUUGCGUAUGAAUGUAUUUGCUUGAUUGUAAAGCUUCUUAGAGGAACGAUGUGUG